AGAAUCAACGCUGGCGGCGUGCCAAACACAUGCAAGUCGAACGAGAAAGUGGAGCAAUCCAUGAGUAAAGUGGCGCACGGGUGAGUAACACGUGACUAACCUACCCUUGAGUGGGGGAUAACCUAGAGAAAUCUGGGCUAAUACCGCAUAAUACCUUCGGGUCAAAGGAGCAAUUCGCUUAAGGAGGGGGUCGCGGCCGAUUAGUUAGUUGGCGGGGUAAUGGCCCACCAAGACUGUGAUCGGUA
rnacentral:rRNA from 1 species